GGGGGCGUAGCUCAGUUGGUAGAGCAGCGGACUCUUAAUCCGCGGGUCGUGGGUUCGAUCCCCUCCGCCCUCACCA
rnacentral:tRNA from 1 species